rnacentral:rRNA from 1 species
AACGGCUCACCAAGGCGACGAUCCGUAGCUGGUCUGAGAGGAUGAUCAGCCACAUCGGGACUGAGACACGGCCCGAACUCCUACGGGAGGCAGCAGUGGGGAAUAUUGGACAAUGGGGGCAACCCUGAUCCAGCCAUGCCGCGUGUGUGAAGAAGGCUUUCGGGUUGUAAAGCACUUUCAGUGGGGAAGAAGGCUUUCCGGUUAAUACCCGGGAAGAAGGACAUCACCCACAGAAGAAGCACCGGCUAACUCCGUGCCAGCAGCCGCGGUAAUACGGAGGGUGCGAGCGUUAAUCGGAAUGACUGGGCGUAAAGCGCGCGUAGGCGGCUUGGUAAGCCGGUUGUGAAAGCCCCGGGCUCAACCUGGGAAUGGCAUCCGGAACUGUCAGGCUAGAGUGCAGGAGAGGAAGGUAGAAUUCCCGGUGUAGCGGUGAAAUGCGUAGAGAUCGGGAGGAAUACCAGUGGCGAAGGCGGCCUUCUGGACUGACACUGACGCUGAGGUGCGAAAGCGUGGGUAGCAAACAGGAUUAGAUACCCUGGU